UGGAGAGUUUGAUCCUGGCUCAGAUUGAACGCUGGCGGCAGGCCUAACACAUGCAAGUCGAACGGUAGCACAGAGAGCUUGCUCUCGGGUGACGAGUGGCGGACGGGUGAGUAAUGUCUGGGAAACUGCCUGAUGGAGGGGGAUAACUACUGGAAACGGUAGCUAAUACCGCAUAAYGUCGCAAGACCAAAGAGGGGGACCUUCGGGCCUCUUGCCAUCAGAUGUGCCCAGAUGGGAUUAGCUAGUAGGUGGGGUAACGGCUCACCUAGGCGACGAUCCCUAGCUGGUCUGAGAGGAUGACCAGCCACACUGGAACUGAGACACGGUCCAGACUCCUACGGGAGGCAGCAGUGGGGAAUAUUGCACAAUGGGCGCAAGCCUGAUGCAGCCAUGCCGCGUGUAUGAAGAAGGCCUUCGGGUUGUAAAGUACUUUCAGCGGGGAGGAAGGUGUUGUGGUUAAUAACCACAGCAAUUGACGUUACCCGCAGAAGAAGCACCGGCUAACUCCGUGCCAGCAGCCGCGGUA
rnacentral:rRNA from 1 species